rnacentral:rRNA from 1 species
ACCUCAAGAUAAGAUUUCCCUAGGACUUUAUGUCCUCUAAAGAGCCGUUCGAGACUAGGACGUUGAUAGGUUGGAUGUGGAAGCAUAGUGAUAUGUGAAGCUGACCAAUACUAAUUGCUCGUGAGGCUUGACUAU